GUGACCACAGCCUCACGCGGCGGCCGCUGCGGAUCCUGCUACCGGCGCAAUGGAGGGGCGCGAGCGGCCACCAGUAGAGUCUGGUUCAUUCUUUCCAGCCGCACAAGGCGGCGGAUCGAGCUUCUUGGGAGAAAGUGUCGGCACCCCCUGAAAACGGGUUGACGACCAGGGCGCUCAGAACUGCUUCCCACCGCUCUGCAGGCACUCCCGAGCCCGCUGCACCCCUGACAGAAGCCCGCGACUCUGAGGCACACGAAUAACAGCGAUGCAUUCAAAAUGAACAUGAUCUUUAUUAAUCAGAAUGCACUUCUAGCCCACGAAACACAGGUUCCCUAAAUACAGUGUUUCUGCCUAUUUGAUUAACGAUGACUAUGAAAGCACAAAUUUGGGGGCCUGCAAUGUAUACAGCCAUAUUGGAAAAAAUUGGACUCGAUUCUUACUGAAAUAACCAGUGUUGGGCUGUGAAGGUAUUUUUCUGUGGGAAAUGCUUUGGAAGGUGCCUUUAAAAGAAUCUCAAAAUAUUGCUUUCCUUUCCUUGAGCGAGACCGAAAAACUUUAGAAAAAGAAAAGCUCAUACCUAGAACAAAGGACCACGCUGAAUGCAUAUUCUAGAGCACAUUUCACAUCCCUCGCGUCAACAAGAAGAAGAAGAGGAGCUUUGAUGCAUUUCAGUCUACAAGUUGACAUCACAAAAGUGCUGGAAGCAGCCGUGGUUUCGGAAGGGAGCUAGAGGCAGAACGAGUGUGGAUGCUGAGAGAUCCCUGACUGUGACUGCUACAUAUUUCAGCUGCGUAGUCACAUAUAUACAAGAUUCCCUGCACUUACAACCAAAAUGAUAACAAAUGCUCUCAUUUGGGAUUUUGUUUGAUAGUCAUUAGGAUAUUUUAUAAGUCUUUCCAAGCACAAGGUUUUUUUCUUUUUUUUUUUAAAGAGAAAUGUGACAAAUAAGGCAACAUAUUUGAAAGUGCUUUGAGUAAUAACAUGACAUUGAAAAUAUCAAAAUGAAUAUUAAAUGAAAUGGGAAAAUACUGGAGAUUUUUAAAUCCUCAUGUCCUUUUUCCUGUACAUAUAGUUUUUACAUAGAGCAGUAGGCUUACAAUUUAUAUAAUUUUGCAUCCUGUUCUUUUCACUGAACAUUAUACAAUAUUUCCCCAUAUUAUUAUGCAUCAGCAUAAAUAUCAUUUAAAAUACAACAUAUUAUCCAACACAAUCGAUGAAUAUUAAUGUAAUUAAUCAUCUGCUUUGGGGCAUUUAGGUUGUUUUCAUUUUUUUCAGUAUUAUAAAUAACAUGUCAAUGAAUAUCUUCUACCUACAGCCUUUUAAAAUUCCCAUUGGGUAAAAACUGAGCACUGGAAUUAGUAGGCUAAAAGAUAUGAAUAUUUAAUACAUUAUUUUUCAAAAAUAUUAUAUUAGUUUACCCUGUCACCAGACUGAUUGUCAGCAUUGGACAUUCUUAUUUUUAAAAAAUUAGAGAUAAGAUGGGUGAAAC
rnacentral:lncRNA from 1 species